rnacentral:rRNA from 1 species
CCUACGGGUGGCUGCAGUGGGGAAUAUUGGACAAUGGGCGAAAGCCUGAUCCAGCCAUGCCGCGUGUGUGAAGAAGGCCUUCGGGUUGUAAAGCACUUUCAGUGGGGAAGAAAGCCUUGGGGCUAAUACCCUCGAGGAAGGACAUCACCCACAGAAGAAGCACCGGCUAACUCCGUGCCAGCAGCCGCGGUAAUACGGAGGGUGCGAGCGUUAAUCGGAAUUACUGGGCGUCAAGCGCGCGUAGGCGGUCUGAUAAGCCGGUUGUGAAAGCCCCGGGCUCAACCUGGGAACGGCAUCCGGAACUGUCAGGCUAGAGUGCAGGAGAGGAAGGUAGAAUUCCCGGUGUAGCGGUGAAAUGCGUAGAGAUCGGGAGGAAUACCAGUGGCGAAGGCGGCCUUCUGGACUGACACUGACGCUGAGGUGCGAAAGCGUGGGUAGCAAACAGGAUUAGAUACCCCAGUAGUC